CUGGAGUGGGGAGCUAUCUGAGCUGAGACUUGGAGGGAUGAGAAGCAGGAGAGGACUCCUCCUCCCUUAGGCCGUCUCUCUUCACCGUGUAACAAGCUGUCAUGGCAUGCUUGCUCGGCUCUGGGUGCCCUUUUGCUGAACAAUACUGGGGAUCCAGCACGGACCAGAUGAGCUCUGGUCCCUGCCCUCAUCCAGUUGCAGUCUAGAGAAUUAGAGAAUUAUGGAGAGUGUGGCAGGUGCCCUGAAGGGAAGCAACAGGAUACAAGAAAAAAUGAUGGGGCCAGGCACGGUGGCUCACGCCUGUAACCCCAGCAAUUUGGCAGGCCGAAGUGGGUGGAUUGCUUGAGCCCAGGAGUUCGAGACCAGCCUGGGCAAUGUGGAGACACUGUCGGACAUUCGGGAAGGUGCGCCGCUAGGGGUCCACCUGCCUUUUGUGGGCUACUCCUACUCCUGCAUGGCCCUCAGG
rnacentral:lncRNA from 1 species